rnacentral:rRNA from 1 species
UGGUAAGGAUUGACGGACUGAAGGCUCUUUCUCGAUUCCGUGGAAAGUGGUGCAUGGCCGUUUUUGGUUGGUGGAUCGAUCCGUCUGGUUAAUUCCGUUAACGAACGAGACCUCGGCACUCCGAAUAGCGCGGCGGACGUCGCGGCCUCCGGGCCGUCUUCCGCACGAGCUUCUUAGAGGGGACCGUCCCCCCGCCGGGGAAGGAGGUGCGAGGCAACGACAGGUCUGUGAUGCCCUUAGAUGUUCUGGGCCGCACGCGCAUUACACUGACGCGUCCAACGGGUGACUCCCGACCCGAAGGGGCCGGGGAAUCCGCAAGGCGCGUCGUGAUGGGGAUUGAACGUUGCAAUUGUUGUUCACGAACGAGGAAUUCCUAGUAGGCGCGGGUCAUCAACCCGCGCCGAUUACGUCCCUGCCCUUUGUACACACC